rnacentral:rRNA from 1 species
ACGUGAGUGAUGAAGGUUUCGGAUCGUAAAUUUCUGUUGUAAGGGAAGAACAAGUGUCAUAGUAACUGAUGGCACCUUGACGGUACCCUUUAAAAACCCAGAAAAAAGGCCCACGUGACUUAAACUUACCGAUGCCAGCAGCCGCGGUAAUACGUAGGUGGCAAGCGUAGUCCGGAAUUAUUGGGCGUACAGCGCUCGCAGGCGGAUCUUUAAGUCUGAUGUGAAAUCUUACGGCUUAACCGUAAACGUGCAUUGGAAACUGGGGAACUUGAGUGCAGAAGAGGAGAGUGGAAUUCCACGUGUAGCGGUGAAAUGCGUAGAGAUGUGGAGGAACACCAGUGGCGAAGGCGACUCUCUGGUCUGUAACUGACGCUGAAGAGCGAAAGCGUGGGGAGCGAACAGGAUUAGAUACC